AUCGCUUCUCGGCCUUUUGGCUAAGAUCAAGUGUAACAUUACGGAUGAAGCCAUAUCAUGUAAUGGCUGCUAUUUAGAAGGUUUGGUAGUACUGUCCUGCAGCUUAUAUCUGAAGAAGUCUUAGGAGUAUAGCAGUACACUGAGUAUUGUAGCAUUUAGUAGUGUAACAGUUACUCACUAUUAC